rnacentral:tRNA from 1 species
UUGACUGUACAAAUGCUAUUAUAGUGGUUUAUGUGUUAAAUAAAUUAGCUUAAUAAUAAUAGCCAGUGAGU